AGUCUGGAGACCCCGUAGGGAAAGCUGGGGACAAGCGUCCAGCGCCUCAUGGAACGUCUGCCCCUCCUCCUGCCCAGAAGAAGCCCAGGGCUUCCAAAGGAUCUUCUCCUGCCCUUCCUCCUAUUGGGAAAGGAAAAGAUGUUCCUGUUGUACCUCUAUUGUCUGCUACUGAUAACGACACUCUGAACGUAGCGGACAUCAGCUCUCAAUCUCCGGCCAAUGC
rnacentral:lncRNA from 1 species